ACAGGUGCAUUCAGGACAUAUUGGAUAAAGUCUGGAUACUUUUGGGCACUAAAACAGUUAUGAGCAAACAAAGGAAUCCAAGUGACCAAAGAAGCUAGCCCUGGUGUGGAGCUGACAUUUCUAGAGAUUUCAUCACUCUCUGGCCUCUAUCACAGUGCCACUGUUUAAGAGAUGUGCCAUGUUUGUAAAAUUCGCAUAAAAAUCACCCAAGAAAAAGGGCAGGUUUGGUGGAGGAGAGAAGGAAACUCUGAUUUUGUCUGAGUGGAGUUCUCAUGCCUUGCAUCUUUUGCAUAAACGUGUAUGGAAAG